rnacentral:rRNA from 1 species
AGUGAACGCUGGCGGUAGGCCUAGCACAUGCAAGUCGAACGGCAGCACAGGAGAGCUUGCUCUCUGGGUGGCGAGUGGCGGACGGGUGAGGAAUACAUCGGAAUCUACUUUUUCGUGGGGGAUAACGUAGGGAAACUUACGCUAAUACCGCAUACGACCUACGGGUGAAAGCAGGGGACCUUCGGGCCUUGCGCGAUUGAAUGAGCCGAUGUCGGAUUAGCUAGUUGGCGGGGUAAAGGCCCACCAAGGCGACGAUCCGUAGCUGGUCUGGGAGGAUGAUCAGCCACACUGGAACUGAGACACGGUCCAGACUCCUACGGGAGGCAGCAGUGGGGAAUAUUGGACAAUGGGCGCAAGCCUGAUCCAGCCAUACCGCGUGGGUGAAGAAGGCCUUCGGGUUGUAAAGCCCUUUUGUUGGGAAAGAUAUCCAGCUGGCUAAUACCCGGUUGGGAUGACGGUACCCAAAGAAUAAGCACCGGCUAACUUCGUGCCAGCAGCCGCGGUAA